rnacentral:rRNA from 1 species
GACGAGGGAUCCUAGCGUUGUUCGGAAUCAUUGGGCGUAAAGGGGGCGUAGGUGGCUUUGUAAGUCGGGUGUGAAAUCCCAGGGCUCAACCCUGGAAGUGCAUUCGAUACUGCGAAGCUUGAGUGCCGGAGAGGUUACUGGAAUACCUGGUGUAGUGGUGAAAUACGUAGAUAUCAGGUGGAACACCGGAGGCGAAGGCGGGUAACUGGCCGGACACUGACACUCAAGCCCGAAAGCGUGGGGAUCAAACAGG